AUUUGCAGUAACUUUUUCAAGUCAAGUGAUGACAAUAGAAGGAAAUCUAUCAUUGACCAGCUUUGUUCUCAUUGUCUGCAGCCAAUGACUGCAUGUUAAUCGAGAUCCAUGUCAAGACUACAUCACACAAAGAAUUCGAAAUACCUGGCAAGGGAUAAAUGAAAACUCUUCAAGUAGAAGUUGCCCUUGUGUCAGACCUGCAGCGUGUGUGAUGUCAGACGGCUUCAGACAGGCUUUAAAACUUCUGCACCUGAAUCAUUCUCUCCUGGGAGCUGGAGGCGGCCUAUCGAAAGCAAUUUUACUCAGAUAACCCGGCAAACAGCCAGUGAGCCAUCAAAGAUUAUUCCCAAAGCAAUAAGCUUUAUCUGUUCACCGAAAAACAGAUUACAAAAGCCUGUAAAUGCUUCAUCACAGCUUAUCACACAAACAUUGUACAGAUCACAGCCAUCGAUUCUAAUGGAAAGACACUUGGAGAGGCUGAACUGGAGAGCAGAAGACGUCAAUAUGAGCAGGAGGAAGUAAUUAAAACAGGUAAUCCCUGAUGGCACGAGGUGUUGAUUCUUGCUCGUGCAUGAAUCUGCGGUUUUCACUUGGCUAUAUUUAGCGUCGUCUGAUUGUUUCUGAGGCUCUGGGACACUGCUGGCAUCCGUUGUAUUCGUCUCUGCCCGGACAUUACAUUUCUAAUUUAUGUUUUGGCCUCCAGAGACAGACUGAAGGUAUUUAUUAAUUUGUGAGCUUUGCACAUGAAAUGUACCAUAAUACUGUGUCUGAAUCAUCUGUGACCUCUUCUGGCAUGUACGGAAGCUCACUCUUUGGCAUCUGUCACAUAUUAUGCUGAUCUUAUGACUGUGUAUCUUAUAGGGAUAAUUCACCCAAAUAUGAAAAUUCUGUCAUCAUUUACUCACCCUUAUUUCAUUCCAAAUCAGUAUGACUUUGUCUUUGUG